AGAGCCCCGACUGCCCAGAGACAGCCCGAUGGCCUGUACCCGCAGCGCGGUGACAAAUUCCUUUCCUGAGUGCCCCCAAGAGCUGCUCAACAACUGCGCCCAACGCUGAAGGAUGCCCGGCCCGGCCCCGCACCCCUGCGAGUAACAAACGGGGCAGGGUCCAGGGUGCGACCCGAGAAUCUCCAAGUGCACCAAGCUGCCAGGAGAUGGUCACCUGCGCCUGGCGCCCUGGAGGCCACUACCUGUCCACAGAACGAGCCGGAAACCCGGCCUUUUGGCUCGAACGCAAAAUCGGGACCAGCCUUGGCGCCGGGUGAGCUGCAGGGAGCUCAGCAAACAGGGUAACGACACUGAUGCCUUCCUGCCCAACUACACAGAAAAGCAAACCGAGACCACGGGAGUGGCUUACCCAGGGGGUGCUCAGUUGUGAGACAUAUUUGGUUUUCUGGAAAAUUUAGGUAUUCUUACCCUUUUUGUGUGCCAGGCCAGUCUUGUGAAGCCCAUGGACACCUCAGAAUAAUGCUCUUAAGUGCAUAAAGUAAAACAGGUAGGAUUACAAAAGAAAAAGGUCAUAUUGAAAUUAGAAACGCUACAUUGACAGCAUAGUAUUGUUUCUUUACUAAUGCAUUAAUAAGCUCUAGCAGCAGGUCUAGUAACUCUGGAAUUUCAAAAAAGGUGCUGAAAAGAUAUUUUGAGAUGUCUGUAACAUCAGAAAUGUAACAUGAAAAUAUCUGUGAUUUAUCUUGGUGCAAAAUGACAGGUUCAACUACUCUUGAUGUUGCCAGUAUUCAUAAUGGAGGAAAUAAAUCUUGCUUAGAGGUUUGUGAAAAUGUAGCUGUAAUCUUUUUUCCCUUCCAUUUUUUGAGAUUUCCCAUCCUGUGGUGCAGUUUCAUCCAUGAAUCCAAGGUCUACAGACCCCAGGUUAAGAAUACCUGGAUCAGCAAUCUAAGUGUUCAUCAGUAGAUGAAUGGAUAAAGAAGAUGUGGUACAUAUACACAAUGGAAUACUAUUCAGCCAUAAGAAAGAAAGAAAUCCUACCAUUUGCAACAACAUGGGUGGAGUUAGACGGUAUUAUCCUCAGUGAAAUAAAUCAGGCAGAGAAAGACAAAUACCAAAUGAUUUCCCUCAUUUGUGGAGUAUAACAAUGAAGCGAAAGUAAGGGAACAAAAAUAGCAGCAGACUCACAGACUCCAAGAAGAGACUAGUGGUUACCAAAGGGGAAGGGUGGGGAGGGCCAGUUGGGAGGGAAGGAGAAGGGGACUGGGGGGUAUCAUGAAUGGUGCACAUGGUGUGUGGGAGGUCAAGAGGAAGACAGUGUAGCUCAGAGAAGACAGAUAGGGACUCUGUGGCAUCUUACACUGAUGGACAGUGACUGCAAUGGGGUAUGGGGGAGGGACUCGAUAAUAAAGAUGAAUGUAGUAACCACAUUUUCUUGUGAAACCUUCAUAAGAGUGUAUAUCAAUGAUACCUUAAUUUAAAAAAUACCUGGAUCUAUUAAUUAAUCUUUUUUGAGUAAUGAUGGUAGGUCCAUUAUUAAAUGCUUGCUAGUUGCCUAUUAAAAGGCUUAUACACAAUAUUAUUAAUCUUCAUACCAUUCUAUGAUAUAGUUAUAAUUCUAAACAGAUGUAGAAAUGGAGGCAUUGUUUGGUUAAGAAAUUUGCCUAAAAAGAGAAAAUCAAAUUCUUAACUCAGGAAUCUAACUACAUUUUUGGUCUUCUAGUCCAUAUUUAAAUGAGUAACACUUUUCUUAUCCAAACUUAAGGUAUAAAGUUUUAGAGAAAGGAGAAUCAAAACUUUUUGUUGUUUUUUAAAAUAUAUUUUUGUAAUAAAUAUUUUGUAUAAAAUUUGUCAUAUAUAUCACAAACUUUUGUCCAGUGGUUUCUGUUCUUUGGUCUUAAUACCUUUAUAGUCAUGCUUUAAAGUAAUUUUUACUACUACUGUAGAUGAAGUGAAGAAUAAACAAAAUGCAUCUCUAUUUCUGGAUGUCCAUAAUCAUUUUAUAUUACAUUGUUUCUCAGAAGGAGCCAAGGGUGGUCCAGUGAAGGAAAGAAAAAACAAUUUAAAAAAAUCCAGAAAUGUUAGGGUUUUCAUGGUUGUUAACGCUUAUCAUGAGAACUCAUCCUUUCUAAUUCUUGGUGUUUACAUCAGAAACCCCUAUGAGCUCAGAAAUCUUCAAUCAAAGAAAACUAUAAA